CACGAAGUUAGCCGGGGCUUCUUCUGCGGGUACCGUCAUUAUCUUCCCCGCCGAAAGGACUUUACAACCCUAAGGCCUUCAUCAUCCACGCGGCAUGGCUGGAUCAGGCUUGCGCCCAUUGUCCAAUAUUCCCCACUGCUGCCUCCCGUAGGAGUCUGGGCCGUGUCUCAGUCCCAGUGAGGCUGAUCAUCCUCUCAGACCAGCUACUGAUCGUCGCCUUGGUGAGCCGUUACCUCACCAACAAGCUAAUCAGACGCGGGCCGCUCUAUCAGCGAUAAAUCUUUCCCCGUAAGGGCGUAUCCGGUAUUAGCCCAAGUUUCCCUGGGUUGUUCCGAACUGAUAGGCACGUUCCCACGUGUUACUCUCCCGUCUGCCGCUGCCGUAUUGCUACGGCCGCUCGACUUGCAUGUGUUAAGCCUGCCGCCAGCGUUCGCUCUGAGCCAGGAUCAAACUCU
rnacentral:rRNA from 1 species